rnacentral:rRNA from 1 species
UACGUAGGAUGCGAGCGUUGUCCGGAAUUAUUGGGCGUAAAGAGCUCGUAGGCGGUUUGUCACGUCUGCUGUGAAAUCCCGAGGCUCAACCUCGGGCCUGCAGUGGGUACGGGCAGACUGGAGUGCGGUAGGGGAGAAUGGAAUUCCUGGUGUAGCGGUGGAAUGCGCAGAUAUCAGGAGGAACACCGAUGGCGAAGGCAGUUCUCUGGGCCGUAACUGACGCUGAGGAGCGAAAGCGUGGGGAGCGAACAGG